AUCCUUGAGGGCAUUCCAGCCCGCAUAAUACCUAUCUUCUUUUACCCCAUAUGAAGCUGAGUCUGCUUAGUGGUUAAUCCGGGGUGGUGACAGCAUACCAUAUUUUCUUGAUCAGCGCCUCUUGUUACAGGCGAAAACCGCCCUGCUUGCUGCAAUCCUGUGACCAUUUGAAAGUCUUCUUCAUUAGCUCUUCAGAUGGCCUAAAUAAUGCCUUUUCUCUUCGACAAUGAUGGCGAGAGGCGAGAAGCGAGGAGGAGUUGAAGUUGACCAAUGUGCAGGACCCAAGUUUCGUCCCUUGUCCUGCAAGGGCAACCCUGUGGUUAUCCUGCAACCUCUAUGAUCCAUCCAUAUGCAGAGUACAUGCAUGAUUCAGCUGUGUAGGGACAUCGUUGCUCCCGUCAAAGCAACUGCGCCAAGUCAAAGCCUGUCCACUCGGCGCUUAGAUGCGAAGGCCCACACAUAUAUCUUGAAUAUAAUGGUGAAAUUCCACUGGUUGAAAGAAUGGGCCUUAUGCAAUCUAAUUACGGUCUUACGAAUGGUGUCUCUUAAUAUAGCCGCUACAAUGUUUACUCCACAACAAAGCUCGCAUUAUGAGGCAUGGCCUGAUGAGAGAUGAAGGAAAUACGGUCGCAAGAAGCAGAAGAGCAACUGAAUCGGUCAUUUUGUGUGUUUGAAGUGAUUCUUUUUAUUGUGGUUGAAUAUGUGGAGUCAUGUGUCUUCCACCUGGGCUGUGGUCCCUUUCGGAGCAUAAUGACCAGCUUUCCUUUCAUCAGUUUUCUAGAAUCUCCUCCUCCGACGAAUGGGCAUUUGAUGAAAGUGCGUAAGAACCCAGUCACUGAGAGUGCCAGGAACAACUGGGAUAAAAGUAACGGGGGAAAAAAAUUCCAUUUGACUAGCAAUGCAUUAUUUAAAGAAAACCGAAUAACAGCAGAAAUCCGAUGCCGGUAAACUCCCAAACCAGACUACAAAGAAAUCAACAAAUAAAAUAUUUAAAUGACUGAAUUUUGACAAGGAAAGGAUAAUCUGUGAAUAAUAAAAAAACAGCAGAGCUAAGAAAAGAAAAUGGAAACAAGGCAAUUUCAGCAGGCUAUUACCGAAACUUUAACCAAACCGAUUUUUCCUCUUUUCUAUGGCAAUACGAUCUUGUUCGCUCCAGGAACUGCUGUUCCCUCCCUUGCCUUGUCGCGUACCCGAUGCUCGGUGUCCUCCUGAUUUCCCCGGGCGACCUUUAUCCCUUCUGAAGUCGCGACGUUUCCCACCGCGGCUAUUUCCGCCCGCGUCAUUUCCACGCUCCCGCUUCUUUGUGCGUUCCGGGAGCGCCUCAUCCAAACCCUUGACAAUUGCUGCAUCUUCUGUAACUGUGCCAAACCGCUUCGCCCUUUCAAUAGCUUUCUUGGCUUGCUCCAGUGCGGUGGAUGAAUCUUCCACGAUCCCGAACUUCUCUGCCCGAGCUUUCCUUUUAGCGAGCUCAGCUUCCAGGUCGGUAGCUGAUAGACCUAUGCUAUAAUCGACUGCUGGUUUCUCUUCUGGUUUCACGUCGGCGCCGUUAAUUUGCUCUGAUGGGGUAGCCUUAUCUCCGGGAGCCGCAGUGCUAGCUGUCCCUGCCUUGCUUUCGCCUCUCACAACUUUGAGAUCAUGAGUGGUGGAGGGAUCGAUAUCUACCUUCUGGCUGGGUACCGCAGUGGGAUUGGGGACCUGUUUUAUAGGAGCGGCAGUUGCUGUGCUAGUGCUCAGUUUCGUGGGUACAGCGGGUUCAGCAAGCGGCGCAUCAUCAUCCCAAUCGAUGACAUCUUCAACUGCAGUUGAUUUCGCGGGCGCCGCCGCGGCAGCUUUAUUGGCGUCAGAUUUAUCCGCUUCCUGGAGUCGGGCGACUAGGUCGGCCUUUUUCCCAGUGUGUGGUAGUGAGCGGGACUUGAGGAUCUCAAUAAGUUCCGCGUUUGUCUUUUUGGCGUACUCCACUGCCAUUGUGAAUAAUGUGGAAGGUCAAGGUAAAGGAAGGCGUCUUUGUAUGUAGUAUGGUAGGCGAAACCCUGAUAGUAGCUUCGAAAAAUACUCCGAGGUCAAGAUUACUCGCCAGGAAAAGGAGGCUUCCGUAGAGAGUUGGGAUCGAGGAAAUUUUGAGAGGAUUCAAGAGGCGUUGAAUCGCAUGGCGACAUACGUGUGUAAACAAAAUAUGAAGAUAUGGAAAAAUACAGAAAGAUGAGAAGAGG
rnacentral:sRNA from 2 species